GACGAGGGAUCCUAGCGUUGUUCGGAAUCAUUGGGCGUAAAGCGGAUGUAGGUGGCUUUGUAAGUCGGGUGUGAAAGCCCGGGGCUCAACCCCGGAACGGCAUCCGAUACUGGCGGGCUUGAGACCGGGAGAGGAGGGUGGAAUACCCAGUGUAGAGGUGAAAUUCGUAGAUAUUGGGUGGAACACCGGUGGCGAAAGCGGCUCUCUGGCCCGGAUCUGACGCUGAGGCGCGAAAGCGUGGGGAGCAAACAGG
rnacentral:rRNA from 1 species